CUUGGGCUUGGAUUCAGCUCCACAUCACACAGAGAAAACCAAACAUUCAAAAUGGCAGAAGGAUUGAAUGGGAUGGUGAGUGAUGGGAAGCUGAAGACUCACUGCUUAUUCCUCCACACAGGGAAGAAAAUGCCCAUAUCACCAACCAGCAGAAAGUGUGGAUUUAUACUGCAGUAGGAAGAACAAACACUACUUUUUAUGUCAAAUCUCCAACUACUGUAAAACUAGAAUGUGAGUUCUUUGAAGGAAGAUGUUUCUGUCUUGUUCAAUGCUCUCUCCGCCAGCACCUGGGACAGUGCCGCACAUGCAGUAUAUGGUGUUUUGUUAAGGAAGUCAUUUCCUAAGCUGACAUGGUGAAGAUUUGGGCCUCCUUUUGCUUCUAUUAAGCACAGGUUCUCUGUUCUAGUCUUUGAUCCACUUUGAGUUUUAUGCAAGG